rnacentral:rRNA from 1 species
UAGGGAAUCUUCCGCAAUGGGCGAAAGCUUGACGGAGCAACGCCGCGUGAGUGAUGAAGGUCUUCGGAUCGUAAAACUCUGUUAUUAGGGAAGAACAAAUGUGUAAGUAACUAUGCACGUCUUGACGGUACCUAAUCAGAAAGCCACGGCUAACUACGUGCCAGCAGCCGCGGUAAUACGUAGGUGGCAAGCGUUUUCCGGAAUUAUUGGGCGUAAAGCGCGCGUAGGCGGUUUUUUAAGUCUGAUGUGAAAGCCCACGGCUCAACCGUGGAGGGUCAUUUGAAACUGGAAAACUUGAGUGCAGAAGAGGAAAGUGGAAUUCCAUGUGUAGCGGUGAAAUGCGCAGAGAUAUGGAGGAACACCAGUGGCGAAGGCGACUUUCUGGACUGUAACUAACGCUGAUGUGCGAAAGCGGGGGGAUCAAACAGG